GGAUAAAAAAUUGCGCCAGCCGGUAUGCAUUUAGCGAGAGAACAUCGACGGAAACUAUAUUGUGGGUACGCGCGUUUUGUUUUUUCUAUCGCCAAUCUCUAGCUGAAAUUGGCAUAACCCAGUUCCAUCUUCACGAAAUGCAUUGAAAAUUCUGAUGACGAUGACGGCACUACUCACCCAAUUCCGGCAACCUCCGUAUUUUUAAGCUGAAAGUAUUCUUCCUUAGCUUUCGGAUUCAGGAGGCUUAUGAAAGUGCUAUGGUGGCUAAGUUUAGUGAUGAUACUAGUUGCCACCUCAUCUUGGAUAAUGAAACAUGGUGUGAUGUUUCCGGAGGAGUCAAGAAAGGAAGAAUAUAUGGAUUCGGAUCUGUGUCUGAUCCAACGAGCUUUUUGGAAGGAACAUCUAGUACAAUAACAUCCCAAGAGGUUGUCUAUGAACGUGUACGAAACGAGAUGCGUGGGGAAAUGGAUGCUAAAGCUGCAGAAAUGGAAGCUAAACAUCAACAAAUGUGUGAGGAAAUGGAUGCGAAAGCUGCAGCAAUAGAUGUCAAACAACAACAAACUGAUGCAAAAUAUGAAGCAAUGGAGAAGAUGUAUGUAGCCUUGCAAAAUAUGAUGAGAAAUUGAAAAUUAGAGGAAUGUGAACCGAAGAUGAUUGGAUGGACAUGAAAUGAAGAGAGCAUCUAAAAUGUUAUUUUGAAGUUAAACCUUUGGGAGUUUGAUGUUAUAUGGAUAGUUUUGGUUUUGGAUGUUUUUUGAAUGAUACUUUGGUAAACUUUGAUAGUUUUGGUAUUGUAAUGUUUGGUUGCAUUGUUAUUUGAUGUUUUUUAGCAUAAAAAUUUGAUGAUUGUAGUA